AGCUCAUCCCUUGAACAGCAGAGUUCUGCCCCGGGUGUUAGAGGAAACACUCAGGGGCCAGAGGUCCUUGGAGCGAGUCCCAGGAGCAGCGGAGACCCCAGGGGCCGCAGGAGACACCCGGGGGCCGGAGGUCUUUGGAGCAAGUCCCAGGAACAGCAGAGACCCAGGGGCCGCAGGAGACGCCCGGGGGCCAGAGGUCCUUGGAGCGAAUCCCAGGAGCAGCGGAGACCCCAGGGGCCGGAGGGCCUUGGAGCGAUCCCAGGGGCAGCGGAGGCUCCUGGCAGUGCAGAUGCUUUGGGGGCGCAGCUCGGUAACAGAGGGGUUUGCAGUGAAUCCACCAGCCUGGAGACCCC